CAAUAGCGUAUAUUAAAGUUGUUGCAGUUAAAAAGCUCGUAGUUGGAUUUCUGGGAGGGUGCCGCCGUCCGGCGUGUCCGUGUGCAGUGGCGCCCUUCCAUCCUUCUGUUAGCGUCUCUUGGCAUUCAUUUGCUGGUGGCGGGCUCAGAUAUUUUACCUUGAGAAAAUUAGAGUGUUUCAGGCAGGCUAGGCCGGAAUACAUUAGCAUGGAAUAAUGGAAUAGGACUACGGUCUCUUCGUUGGUUUGAGGGACUGCAGUAAUGAUUAAUAGGGAUAGUUGGGGGCAUUAGUAUUUAAUUGUCAGAGGUGGAAUUCUCAGAUUUGUUAAAGACUAACUUAUGCGAAAGCAUUUGCCAAGGAUGUUUUCAUUAA
rnacentral:rRNA from 1 species